AAGUUCUAUUAAUACAUUAGAGUUUGACUUUUGAAUGUCAGACUUCACAGUAAUUAGAUAAGACUCAGCUGCUUUUUGGCUGACUACCAAAUUUUAAUCUCUGUGUUUGUUUUCCACCCUUUGGCCCACUUUCAGGUUUUUCUAUAAUGUAUCACCAGCAACUAUGGUGAUGACAGCUUUUGGAACAUCCUUUCAUUAUUUCAAAAAGUAAAUAAUCUAAUAUGGUUUAAUUACUUGAGCCUCAACAACAACAAAGAAGAAGAACAUAGGUUCCUGGCUUUUUUUGUUUGUUUUUUGAGACUGAAACUUUUGGGGAAACUCUAUGUAUAGUCACAUAGAAUACAGUGCAAAUAAAGUAAUAACUUGACCCCAAACAGAAACUUCA
rnacentral:lncRNA from 1 species